rnacentral:rRNA from 1 species
AUAUGUCAGCGGCAGACGGGUGAGUAACGCGUGGGAACGUACCUUUUGGUUCGGAACAACACAGGGAAACUUGUGCUAAUACCGGAUAAGCCCUUACGGGGAAAGAUUUAUCGCCGAAAGAUCGGCCCGCGUCUGAUUAGCUAGUUGGUGAGGUAAUGGCUCACCAAGGCGACGAUCAGUAGCUGGUCUGAGAGGAUGAUCAGCCACAUUGGGACUGAGACACGGCCCAAACUCCUACGGGAGGCAGCAGUGGGGAAUAUUGGACAAUGGGCGCAAGCCUGAUCCAGCCAUGCCGCGUGAGUGAUGAAGGCCCUAGGGUUGUAAAGCUCUUUUGUGCGGGAAGAUAAUGACGGUACCGCAAGAAUAAGCCCCGGCUAACUUCGUGCCAGCAGCCGCGGUAAUACGAAGGGGGCUAGCGUUGCUCGGAAUCACUGGGCGUAAAGGGUGCGUAGGCGGGUCUUUAAGUCAGGGGUGAAAUCCUGGAGCUCAACUCCAGAACUGCCUUUGAUACUGAAGAUCUUGAGUUCGGGAGAGGUGAGUGGAACUGCGAGUGUAGAGGUGAAAUUCGUAGAUAUUCGCAAGAACACCAGUGGCGAAGGCGGCUCACUGGCCCGAUACUGACGCUGAGGCACGAAAGCGUGGGGAGCAAACAGGAUUAGAUACCCUGGUAGUCCACGCCGUAAACGAUGUCGACUUGGAGGUUGUGCCCUUGAGGCGUGGCUUCCGGAGCUAACGCGUUAAGUCGACCGCCUGGGGAGUACGGCCGCAAGGUUAAAACUCAAAUGAAUUGACGGGGGCCCGCACAAGCGGUGGAGCAUGUGGUUUAAUUCGAUGCAACGCGAAGAACCUUACCUGGUCUUGACAUCCACGGAAGUUUUCAGAGAUGAGAAUGUGCCUUCGGGAACCGUGAGACAGGUGCUGCAUGGCUGUCGUCAGCUCGUGUUGUGAAAUGUUGGGUUAAGUCCCGCAACGAGCGCAACCCUUAUCCUUUGUUGCCAGCGGUCCGGCCGGGAACUCAAAGGAGACUGCCAGUGAUAAACUGGAGGAAGGUGGGGAUGACGUCAAGUCAUCAUGGCCCUUACGACCAGGGCUACACACGUGCUACAAUGGCGCAUACAAAGAGAAGCGACCUCGCGAGAGCAAGCGGACCUCAUAAAGUGCGUCGUAGUCCGGAUUGGAGUCUGCAACUCGACUCCAUGAAGUCGGAAUCGCUAGUAAUCGUAGAUCAGAAUGCUACGGUGAAUACGUUCCCGGGCCAUGAUGACGUCAAGUCAUCAUGGCCCUUACGACCAGGGCUACACACGUGCUACAAUG